AUAAUCUGGCCCUGCUCAAUCUUGUCUCGUAUUACUUCAGUCCAUGCACACGAGCUCCCCUCUAUGUCCCGGCCAGAGUGGGCAGCUCUCUGCUCACAUCGGCUCUGUCCUGGGUUGAUGGUCUUCCCUGAUGAACAUUGUGGAACCCUUUCCUGCCCAACCCACUCUGGGCCCGUCGUGUUCCUCGUGCGCUGCUUGGAUAUGAUCUUGGGGAUUAGAAAGGGAGCACUUUCAGGUCAAGCUCUGGCAUACGGCUUGAGGGGAGGAAUUGUGGGAGGCUGCAAUAGAAGAAGAGGAAACUCGGGGAAGGAGGAAGGGCAGAGAUGAAAAUCCCAAAGGCAGCUGAUGAUCUGAGGUGAGUGGUACAGUAGCGACCUUGGCCAAGCCAGGAGUGGAUGUUCAGGACUCCCUCAGGGACCAGUAACGGAAGAACAUGCUCAGCCCUGAUCUUCGGCUUCAGGUUUCCAAACUGACUGUACUGGGUCUGGAUCCAUUCACUCUACUCGUUUAUUCUUUCAUUGAACGGUGUGUUCCGAACACCGUGCUGGGAAUUGAGGGUGAAAUAAAGUAUGACUGAGACACAGUCCCCUCCUGUCAUGGAGCUUAUACUCUUCCGGAUCCCCGGGGAGGUCAUGGAAACAGCAGAAC
rnacentral:lncRNA from 1 species